GGAUGUGAGGGAGAUCUGGCUGUGAUAUCUGUCACCCAUUGAUCGCCAGGGUUGAUUCGGCUGACCUGGCUGGCUAGGCGGGUGUCCCCUUCCUCCCUCAUCGCUCCAUGUGCGUCCCUCCUGAAUCUGCGCGCUCGGUCGAAGAGGAGGACCAUCCCCGAAAGAGGAGGACCGUUCUUCGGUCAAGGGUAUACGAGUAGCUGCGCUCCCCUGCUAGAACCUCCAAACAAGUUCUCAAUUUGGUAGUUGUGUCAUAAACUUCCACCAAUUUCCCCCAAAGUUCACAGAUAUUACAGAGGGAUUUU
rnacentral:snRNA from 1 species